AACAUGAUUGUUUUGUUGGUUUGGAUAUGUAUUUUUAAAGGAAAUUUUGUCGAAAUUUCUUGAAAUUUGUAAAGACUAGCUCGAUGUCUUGGUGGUUGGAUAUGUGUUGAUGAUUGAGCAUGUAUUAAUUAUUGUGGUGGUAUGGUGAAUUAUGAUAAUUGUUAUGUCUAAUUGUAAGUAUUUAGUUACUUCUUCGAGAUAUAGUGAUGGCUUGAAUUUUAAAUAUAUAUUUUCUCCUUUAAUCUUAUACUAUGUUGUUUAUAAAUAACUACAAUUUAACUUUUUGAAGGCAUUUCAGGUUUAUGUAGUGCUGCGAAUAUAUAUGGAUGCAUCCUAGGCCUUUGACUGAUGAUAUGGGGUAAAUAUUACUGUGUAUCUUUUUGACAAUGUGUCUGUAAAUAAAUUGUGUUACUUAUUUGAUUUGUGUUCUACGUUAUUAGUAUUCUUGGUUUAAUUUGUACAGUUCGAGAAAAAGUACCCACGGAAGCUUGAAACUUUAGUUCUGACUAAAAAGUCCUUAGAAGUGAGUUUCAGUGUGCCCGAAAAGUGACUGCCAAUUAAAACUACAUUACUACCAAUUAAAGCUACAGGUUUCCUUUGUGUCAAGCCUACAAUAUUUGUCAUCCCAAAUGAAAGUGGAAUUAUAAAACCAAACGCUACAAUAUUUAUAUCUAAUAUUCUAUUUAAUUACACUUGCUUAAAAAAUGCUUUGUACUUUGAAUUAAGUCUAUUACUUGACAACUAUUUAUGUAGAGAAACUUUUAAAUUUAUUUUUUAUUGGUUCUUUCCUUUCUGAUUUAUCGAAUUGAAUUCAUCCGAAUACUGAAUUCCUCUCACUUUCAUGUGGCUCCUAAUGAGUAAUGACUAUGAUUGAUUAGAAAGAAAAUUUAUGUUAAUUUGAUGACUGGCUAUAUUAUGUUAUGUUGGGUUGAUUGGAGUGAGAGUAAGACAUGACAUAACAAAAAAUUGUUAUAAAUACCUAACCUUAAAAAGAACUUCGGGUUGAGGUCUUGUAAUUUUAAAAUUUAAAUAGACUUUUAUAUCACCAGUCUUCAAAGUAUACCUUCAAUAAAAUAGCCUUUUGUAGUGCAGGUGCAAAAAAUGAGUAUUAAAAGCUUUAUUAAAUGAGUACCUUCAAUACCCAUAUGUGGUUGGAAACCAUGUUUUAUUCCCCCAGUUUUUGAUGAAUGUUUUACAUAAAAGUUUGUGGUAAAAGAUUCAAAUUGGAUUUUAAACUGAAUGGUACUGUUAGAUUUUUUUAAUUUGUUAUUGUGAAAAGAUUUAGAAGCAAACACCUUUGUGAGAAGGCAAAAGUAGUUUAUCUUAUUCUUUGCUUUUUAUCGUUUUCUUUUUAUUGAUUGUGUUUGUUGAACUAUUGAUUAAAGUGGUGGUUUUUUAAACGUUGAGUGACUCCGAAUUUUGUAUAUUGAAUUCAUUUCGGUGGAUCGAGGUUCCAAUUUGGAUGAGUUUAGUUUUUUGUUCAACUUUUAUGGAGUUUAAUGCGUGAUUAUAGAUUUAAUUUUUCUUUUUGGUUAUUCUUUUUGAAGAAAUCGCAAAUAUGUUACUUGAAUGGGGUUUAAUGCGUGAUUAUGGAUUUAAUUUUUCUUCUCGGUUGUUCUUCAUGGGAACUUUAUGGAUGUUUUUUUUAAAUCUUUCAUUAGGAGUUGGGACAAAUUGGUACUCAUAUUAUGUAAGUUGUAAAUAGUUUCUUUUUUCUUUUUUAAAUUUUUUAAUCUUGAUGUUUUUUAAUUUCAGUAGAUUGGUUUAAAUUUACGAAUCAACUGAGUUGUGGUUUAAAUUAAAAAUGUUUUUAUCAAGUGAAUCAACUAUUAGUAUCAGUUAUACCUUGAAAUCUUUAACUUAAAUUUUCGAAUAGCUUCAGUUAAAAAUUCGUAUCUAUUUCAUCAUAUGUCUUCUUAUAAAGUCGACGACAGCUUCAAUUUAAUUUUGGGUGUUUUAAAUUUAUUUUUUUACAAUGUGUGUUUAAUCUUUGUCUCUCUCUUUCACAGCAGUAGCACACACCCCAUUAUACUGCAACCAAUACAGAUUUAUGAUUUAAAUCAUUAACCAAAUGAACCAUUUGUUGAAAUGGUACUAAGAAAAUUUUAUUUGAUUGUAAGUCCAUAUCUUUUUCUAAAUAAAUUGAUUAUUUGUUACAAUCUCUCUAAAGUCUUACUUAUAUCAAUCUAAAUCAUUCCCCCUACAUACAAAUAUGUGUUCUCAUUUGUUUUUUAGAUAAUUCAGGGUAAAGUAAGGGGUCUUAUGUUUCGGAUUUACAAUUAUUUUAUUUUGACUCACAUAUUUCGAUAAUUUUUAAAUUUUAAAUAUUUUUAGGUAUAUAUUGAAGGAUACAUGGUGUAAGCCGUAAAGAAUAUACUUGGUGUAAGCUAUAAAGUAAAUGGUCUUAUGCUCAACAUGUUGUUUCUCUAUUUUCUGCAUGUAUGUAUUCUUUGUGUUCCGUCUUUUGUAAAGUUAGCUAAUUAUACAUGGUUGUGAUAUUUUGGGUAUGGAAUGAUGGUUUUUUUGGUGGUUUGGAUAUGUAUGGAUGAUUGUAAGUUUUGUAAACAGGUUUAGAUUUUUCUGGAUAUCUAUUUUUAAAGGAAACUCUGUCAAAAUUUCUUGAAAUUAGUAGCGACUAACUUGAUGUUUUGGUGGUUGGAUCUGUUGAUAAUUAAGUAUGUAUUAAUUUCUUCAUGUAUGUAUUUUUUGUGUUUCGUAUUUUGUAAAGUUAACUAAUUAUACAUGGUUAGGAUGAUUUUGGGUAUGGAAUUAUGUUUUUUUUUUUUGUGGUUUGGAUAUGUAUGGAUGAUUGUAAGUUUUAUAGACAGGUUUAUAUUUGUCUGGAUAUCUAUUUUUAAAGGAAACUCUAUCGAAUUUUUUUAAAAUUAGUAGCGACUAACUUGAUGUUUUGGUGGUUAGAUAUGUGUUGAUGAUUGUUUGUAUUUUAUGUGUUUCGUAUUUUGUAAAGUUAACUAAUUAUACAUGGUUAUGAUGAUUUUGGGAAUGGAAUGAUGGUUUUUUUAGUGGUUUGGAUAUGUAUUGAUGAUUUUGGGUAUGGAAUGAUGGAUAAGUUUGUCGAUUUUUUUUGAAAUUAGUACCGACUACCUCGAUGUUUUGGUGGUUGGAUAUGUAUUGAUAAUUGAGUAUGUAUUAAUUGUUGUGGUG
rnacentral:lncRNA from 1 species